UACGUAGGGUGCAAGCGUUGUCCGGAAUUAUUGGGCGUAAAGGGCUCGUAGGCGGUUCGUCACGUCGGGAGUGAAAACUCGGGGCUUAACCCCGAGCCUGCUUCCGAUACGGGCAGACUAGAGGUAGGCAGGGGAGAGCGGAACUCCUGGUGUAGCGGUGGAAUGCGCAGAUAUCAGGAGGAACACCGGUGGCGAAGGCGGUUCUCUGGGCAUUACCUGACGCUGAGGAGCGAAAGUGUGGGGAGCGAACAGG
rnacentral:rRNA from 1 species